rnacentral:rRNA from 1 species
UGUAAGCGUAUACCAAAGUUGUUGCAGUUAAAACGCUCGUAGUCGGAAUUUGGCAGUUCCGGAUGUGUGCACGUCGUGUGCGCACUUCGCGGGGAUUGCUUUUGUGGUCUUGCGUAGGAUGAGGCACUUUUAUUAGUGAACGUCCUCACGCAACCACUUUUUACUGUGAGAAAAUCAGAGUGCUCAAAGCAGGCAUUUGCCGUGAAUGUAUUAGCAUGGAAUAAUAGAAUAGGACUUGGUUCUAUUUUGUUGUUUGUUGGGACUGAGUAAUGAUUAAGAGGGACAGUUGGGGGCAUUUGUAUUUCGGUGCUAGAGGUGAAAUUCUUAGAUUACCGAAAGACAAACUGCUGCGAAAGCGUCUGCCAAGGAUGUUUUCAUUGA